GCUCCCGUGGCCUAAUGGCUAGGGCAUUUGACUUCUAAUCAAGGGACUGCGGGUUCGAGUCCCGCCGGGAGCU
rfam:Schizosaccharomyces cryophilus OY26 unplaced genomic scaffold supercont4.1, whole genome shotgun sequence.